CCUACGGGAGGCAGCAGUGGGGAAUAUUGGACAAUGGGCGAAAGCCUGAUCCAGCAAUGCCGCGUGAGUGAUGAAGGCCUUCGGGUCGUAAAGCUCUUUUACCAGGGAUGAUAAUGACAGUACCUGGAGAAUAAGCUCCGGCUAACUCCGUGCCAGCAGCCGCGGUAAUACGGAGGGAGCUAGCGUUGUUCGGAAUUACUGGGCGUAAAGAGUACGUAGGCGGUUAUUCAAGUCAGAGGUGAAAGCCCGGGGCUCAACCCCGGAACUGCCUUUGAAACUAGAUAACUAGAGUCUUGGAGAGGUUAGUGGAAUUCCGAGUGUAGAGGUGAAAUUCGUAGAUAUUCGGAAGAACACCAGUGGCGAAGGCGACUAACUGGACAAGUACUGACGCUGAGGUACGAAAGCGUGGGGAGCAAACAGGAUUAGAUACCCUGGUAGUCCACGCCGUAAACGAUGAUAACUAGUUGUUCGGUCACUUGGUGACUGAGUGACGCAGCUAACGCAUUAAGUUAUCCGCCUGGGGAGUACGGUCGCAAGAUUAAAACUCAAAGGAAUUGACGGCUGGAGAGUUGCGAGACGACACGAGGAGGAGG
rnacentral:rRNA from 1 species